AUACGUAGGGUGCGAGCGUUAAUCGGAAUUACUGGGCGUAAAGCGUGCGCAGGUGGUUUUGUAAGUCAGAUGUGAAAUCCCCGGGCUUAACCUGGGAACUGCGUUUGAAACUGCAAGGCUAGAGUGUGGCAGAGGGGGGUGGAAUUCCGCGUGUAGCAGUGAAAUGCGUAGAGAUGUGGAGGAAAACCGAUGGCGAAGGCAGCCCCCUGGGUUAACACUGACGCUCAGGCACGAAAGCAUGGGGAGCAAACAGGAUUAGAUACCCCAGUAGUCC
rnacentral:rRNA from 1 species